GUUGUCAACACUUCCGCCAACGGAGCUGAACCCCAUAAAUCAAGAGUGGCCUUUGGCCAUUGC
ensembl:ncRNA T03G11.12 ncRNA